GCUGCACACCUGAAGUCCCUGGCACAGGUAGCUCUGAGUCUCAAGGGAAACGGACACGGUUGAAAGAGCUGAGGCCCAGAGCAGGGCACUCCUCGUGAAGCCCUUCAAACACAGACCUUAGUGAUUUCCUACUCCCUUCUCUGUGCUGGGCUUCAGUUUCCCUGCAGAAUGAUACAGCACCUGCGUGUGGUGUGUGAUACCUGCUUUGCCUUUGCAAGUUUAGGACAGCACCAAAUUAUCAAUUUUAUCAACCCCCUGGAAUCAGUUAGAGCCUUCAUGGUAUGCAAAUACUAUUUCAGCCUGUCAGCAGACUUAGGCAGAGUUAAUUGCAGUGAUGUACCAGAAGCCCAUAAACUCACCCUUCUGAGAACUGUCUGCACUGACUGCUGCCAAAUGUUUUCUUCAGGUCACAAAUUUAUGAAAACUCACAGCUGAAUUCCUUAUGUUGAAUAUUGCAGAAGAUUUAAACAAACUACUUAUCAUGUCUAGAUAUCUCAGGAGAUUAAUGAUUAAUCCAGGAUCUAGCGAGGGUAGUCUCUCUUCCUCCAUCUGAUAUUAUCCACUAUCAAAGUCAGCUUGAAUUUCAUUCCAAAAGGACAGCUGAUCAGAUCACCAGCUUGCAUGGAAGCCCUCACACUGUUGUUAGUUUGUUGCAGAUAAUGUAACUGCAAUUUCUUAUGCAGU
rnacentral:lncRNA from 1 species